GGUGUGCUGAUGCUGCUUUUAUGGAGGGCUGUAAGCUGAGGAAAGGCUGAAUUGGGAAUAUACUGCUCUGUGAGUGAGCUGGAGCACUUCUGAGCUUGAGGCAGGGACCUUUUAUAGGGUGAUGAUGUUAAACUGAGGAAUACUGCCUGGAUGAAAGCUGCUGCUGUGAAGGUGCCUCCUGAGGAAGAGGAAAAGAGUGUGGGGAACCAGUGAGGACUGGAGUUCAGCUGCUCUGCACAAAGUUUCCUGAGAAUUUGGCCUAUUCUGCAGUGUUUCAGGGUUGACAGAUUGAAGAUCCAACCUCUGCCAGUUGGCUGGGAGGAAACACCAAGCCUUGGAUGCACAUAAUCUUGUGGGAACAGUCUACUUCUGGAAAUCAGGAACUAUUUCCUUAAACUGCUGAUUACUUGGAGACUGUACCGCAAGGAGCAUAAUUCUCCUGCCUUGUUCUGUUCCUAAACAGCUGUUUCCUGGCCGUGGCUGGACACAGGGUACUGGGCUGGAAGGCCCUUGGAUUUAGCUCAGUCUGGUUGCUGGUAUUGCUCUGGCUGGAGCUGUGCCGAAUCCUGGUGGGUGGAGGAGGACCCAGACAAAUGAUCCAGCUGGGGACUGAGGGAGGGUGGUUGAGGAAGAGUGAUGGAGGUGGUCAUCCUUGACUGUUGAAAUGAGGCUUAAUUGCUGCUGUUCAACAAACACUGCUGCUGUUCAACACAUGUCACAGGCUAAAAUCUCCCUUGAUUUUAAGGUCUUAAUCAUCUUGCCCUGACAAUCAGCAAAAUGGACAUACUGUGCGCACCGCAAGAUGUCAACAGGACACACCCACUGUCCACAUUUGGCAGCUUUCUUUGAAAAGUGAAAUAACAAGCGCCAGGAGUGCCAAACCAAACCUAAAAUGAAGACAAAACCAGAAGGACCAUCCAGAUGGGUGUGUGUCUAUUUGGAACAGACCUUUUUUCAACAGGUCUCAUGACACGCUUGUCCCAAACUGGAAUCCAAGUCAUCAGGUUUAUGGUAACGAAUGAUUCAAAGUGAGCAACUCCCUCCCCUUCUCUCUACUCAGGUUUUUUGAGAUUUCUAUGGUGAGAUGAAGGAGGGAAGAAAUCUAAGACUGUCCAACCUCAAACCUCUAAUGCACAGUUCCAUUACUGGUGAUGGAUAGUGUGCUGUGGGCACACCAAAUGGAAAGUAUAUUGAUUAGGUUGUACUUGCCUUAACUCAGGGUUGUCUCAGACUUAUCUGGGGAGCCCAGGUCACUUUUCUAAAGGAUUUAAUGGAGUCUUUUGAAGCCUGAAGACCUCAUUGUGUCCCAAAAUAUAAGGACUAAGAUGAUCAGGGACCUGUCUGUAUAUAUUGCUGAACUUUCCUUAUUUAUUUUUUCACUUCCUGCCUGUCUAUGAAUAUGUAUUCAUAGUUAAUUCUUUAUAACCUUACAUUCUUUGCACCAUGACUUAUGUAGAACUGAUCAUUUUAAAUUAAACCUUACUGUUUAUUGAA